rnacentral:rRNA from 2 species
GACGUGGGGGGCCAGCGUUGCUCGGAAUUACUGGGUGUAAAGGGUUCGUAGGCGGUGUGGCAAGUCGGGAGUGAAAUCUCUGGGCUUAACUCAGAGACUGCUUCCGAAACUGCUGUGCUUGAGUGUGGGAGAGGCGCGUGGAAUUGCAGGUGUAGCGGUGAAAUGCGUAGAUAUCUGCAGGAACACCCGUGGCGAAAGCGGCGCGCUGGACCACUACUGACGCUGAGGAACGAAAGCUAGGGGAGCAAACAGG